rnacentral:rRNA from 1 species
UACGUAGGGUGCAAGCGUUGUCCGGAAUUAUUGGGCGUAAAGAGCUCGUAGGCGGUUUGUCGCGUCUGCUGUGAAAACUCUGGGCUCAACCCAGAGACGCCACCCGAUACUGCUGUGACUUGAGUACGGUAGGGGAGUGGGGAAUUCCUGGUGUAGCGGUGAAAUGCGCAGAUAUCAGGAGGAACACCAGUGGCGAAGGCGCCACUCUGGGCCGUAACUGACGCUGAGGAGCGAAAGCGUGGGUAGCAAACAGG